GUCAUUUAGGCUCAGUUGGUAGAGCAUGGUGUUUGCAACGCCAGCAUGGUGUGUGCAACGCCAGGGUUGUGGGUUCGAUUCCCACGGGGGGCC
rnacentral:tRNA from 1 species